UGCGUGAAAUGAUGGGGAAUGUCUCUUGCGUGAAACACCUGCUAACGAAAGACCUCUCCAAAGCAACUGGAUAGUGUAAGAACGUUGGUGUGACCAAAACUGCAUGAAUUAUUUCAGUUGCAAUACGUGGUAAAGGCAAAUAGAACUGUUUCAGAACUCGGUGUGAAACAGUUUUUGAAUGGUCUCAUCUGAUAUACCGGUUAUGAAAAAGUUUUCGCGAGGCGCGUAGGAAGCCGCAGUAGAUCUUGAAAAGCUCCGUAAUUGUAAAUGAAAAGUUCCAAAGAGUACUUUAAUAUAAGCACUGGUGUAUAGAAGAUACCAUACCAGAUUACUAAGUGCACUAUUGGCGGUACCGGAUAUGUAAGAUACUCCGCAUCACUUGUAAUCAACCAUGGAAGCUUCUUGACAUACCUUAUUAGUGUAAAUACAAUGAAAACUACUACUAACUUCACCAGGAUUUAGGAAAGCUUGUGAUCUGUCCUGAUUUGCUAGGAGCUUCCAGAAGAUGACGUUCAAGCAAAGAUUGGAACGCACAUCCUGGGAAAUACUGUACUGAUUUUUUUUGAAAAUACUGAACAACAAUAAACUUGUAAAAUGAUACUGUUUUGACAGAGAUGGAAAAAUAUUCGUAACAAAUCUUGCAUGUUAUGUGACUGUUACAUGUAUGUGGAGGAGCCAUGCACUGUCAGCCGACAUGAAGGUGUUAGUAACAAUAUGUGUAAAAUGCAGAUCUACUAUAGCAAUACUUUAGGUAUGUGACAGCCAACCAUUUCUUGAAACCUUGAAAGUCCUUACAAUGCUUGAGGUAAUAUGCAGAUUUAUACAUUUCCUCCCCUGAGGUAAUGUUUAAACUGGGUGCAUUCAUUCAAAUUGAUAUGUACAUAAAGAUCAUUGCCCUAAGUGUAGAUGAGCAUGCAUAUGUUAAUUACAAGUGACAUCACAGUAUCAACACGCAGGUCAUCACGGAUGCAAACUGUACUGCAGAUUAGCCAGCAUAUUACCCUGAAAAUAAGCAGAGCUGGAUGGGUGAAUGACAGCAAAAUGUCACAUAUGUAUGCUGAGGCUUGGCAUUCCACAAUCCCCCGGAACAUUCCCAUUACACUUUAGAAGCCUAGCAAGGAUCAAGAUGGCAGACAGAGGCUCUCUGGGCAUUGGGUAACUACGGCCUUGCAGAAGAUAAGGAAAAUCAUGGAGAGACGCAGGGCACAGUGGAGGAUAAUCAGGAACAUUAGAAGAAUAAAUGAGACUUAAGAAUUAAAAUUAACUGUUAUUUUAUACAGUGUUUCCCGUGGCCUUCUGGAGAUACAGCUGUGUAUCAUUCAUUGUUAAACAUACCCAAUAUUGUCCUUUACUCUCAUUUGGUGUGUGCCUUGGACUUUUCCUCUUGGUGCUGAUUUUGGAAUUUUGUUGUGAAGUGGCAGUAGUUACAAGAAAAUUGGCACACUAUCCUACCUUAAUGUUUUCAUUACUCUUUGUUCUUCUCCUCCUACUGCUUUAAAAUAUUAUUGUUUUUGCAGUGAAGCUAUAGCAUUAGUAUUAGAAGACUGAAACAUCAUCUUGAUAUCCAAGGAAACUACUAAAUGCCUUCAUGAGUCUCGGUGUGUUGUAAAAUUGUGAUGUCAUUCAUUUUCAAGCAUAAACUCCUACUCCUAGUUGGAAGCAAGUGUAGGAUGCUACCCAAAAAGUUCUCUUGUCUUACUCUGGGGUAGGACAAUUUUUUGUCCUAGUCAGACUUUUAGUGCAAUACCUAGGAGUUAUUCUGAGAUGCUUGAUAAGUACAGGCACUGAUCUUCAUCCGAGUCUCAAGUAUAAACAAACGCAACAUGCUUAUGCUAAUCACAUGGAAACAAUUAUAAUCUUUCAUGUCUUUAUUGAACACACCCAUCAAACAUACAGUAUAUAGUGUGCUGUAGAAAAAUAAGAGAAACCCUGGAUUUAAUAACCAGUCAAACCUGCUUUGGCAGCAGCAGACUCUCACAAGUGCUUCUCGAGGAAUGUUCAGGAGGAAUUUUGGACCAUUCAUCAUUAUAGAACUGCUUCAGCGCAGGCAUAUUCUUAGGAUGUCUGGUGUGAAUAGCUCCUUUGAUGUCAAUCCAACAGUGUUGCUGUUGAAUAAGUUCUGGGCUCUGACUGUGCUACUCCAAAAGGCGGAUUUUUGUUUUUUGAAGCCGCUCUGUGGUAGAUUUUCCAAGAUUUACGGUCAUGGUUCUGCUGCAUCACCCAGCUAUUAAUGACCUUCAGGUUUUUAACAGCCACCCUGAAAUUACUCUGUAUACCUUGAUACCUUGAUAAACUGCAUUUUUCACUUGACAAUGGCAAGCUUUUCAGAAAAGCAACCCCAAUUCUUGAUGCUCCCUGCACUGUACUUAAAAACUUUGAAAUAAUCUUUUGUUGUUGAUAUGCACAGCCCUUUUUACCCAAUAUGUAUUGCUGCAUAUUCUUCCUGAACAGUUCGACCUCCAUUUCAUCAAUCCACAAAACAUUUUUCCAAUAGCUUUGUGGAGUGUCAAGAUGGAAACUUGAGACAUGACAGUACUGUUUUUUGUUUGGAGAGGAGAGGCUUCCUUCUUCAUGUCCUGCCAUGAAUAAAAGGCCUGUUCAAUGUUGAGACGUUAACCUGUUCUAAUUGUUCCUUUAAGCCAUUAGCUGCUCCUCUAGGGUUCCAUUUUACCUUAUUGAGCGUUCUGCACUGUCUUUUGGAAUUCUUUCCAGCUUCAUGCAAAUCAACAGUUGUUGACCAUAGAUCUUUUGAGAUCUCUUUUGUGAGACAUGCUUCAUAUCAGCAGAUGUUUCUUGUAAAUAGCAAGCUGAAAAGGUUUGAGUCUUUUUAUAGGUCAAAGUAUCUCUAAACAACACCUAGGGUCUUGUUUCUUUGAGUGUACUCCAGGUUUGCCAUCAUUUGACUCCAGUUAGUUUUAUUGAGGUCAUCAGCCUAGGGGUUCACAUACACUAUGAAUGUUUCAAUAAUGUAUUCAAUAUGUACAGGAAUAAUGCAAUAAUUUGUGCUUAUUAGUUAAAACAGAC